UUGUUGACAAACUUGACACAGACUCUGUUCAGGGUUUAUCUUUUUAUUUCUCUACGUCUGUCUUCCCUCCAAACAUCUCUUUUUGCAUAACAGUAGUUCAGCAGCAGCGGGUAGAAAAGAAACGAUUCUUCGUUUUGUGUAAAAAUAUCUGGGCGCUCCUGGAACCCGAGCCGACCUCUCUUAGUGCAAAUGCUUCAAAUCAACGUUAGGCACACGAGACGCUUAAGUGCUGAUGGCGAGUUUCAAACAUUAUUCAGGAUUUCUCUGUUCGCAGGUUCAAACUAAACAACUAAAACCUACAGUCAGGAUUUAAUCUGAGCUCAAACACACGGAGAGAAACGUGUUUAAAAACACGACGUCUCAAAACAAAACUCUAAAAUGAAAAAGUGUUUCUUGAAAUAAAAACGUGCUGACCUGUCGUCUGUCAGGUAGUCACAGGACUGUUUGGAGCCACGGUGUGUAAGACAACAGGAACGUCCUGUUGGACAGACAUGUCCCUCACCUGGACCUGGGUCACCUGUGGGAGGGRCCUUCCUGUGGGUCCACCACCUGCAGGGUGGGGUACACACAAGUCCUGGUUUACAAAAGUCCAGAGAUUCGGGGUCUUCCUCGGGGACACCUGGACUGCCGGGAAUCAAACCUGCAACCAGAACUGCUGGUCCACAGCUGCCCAGUGRCAGAACCAACAUGGAGGAGGCUCGGUUCUGUUCUGGGUCUCUAAUCUGUGCAGGGUACUGUGGAAUCUCAAGACCAUCAAGGCCUUCUGGAGAAAAACGUGCAGCUCAGGUCUGGGGUCCUCAGACCAGGUAAAACCAGUCCACCUGGACCAGAACCAAACACUGGACAGUCCUGAAGUGGACCUUCUGAGUCAUGAUCCAAAUCCUGCUGAACAUCUGGAAGAGGAAACCUUUAGACCUGAGACACCUGGAGGAGAUGGUUCAGGUGAACCGGGACACCUGAGGACAGGUGAACCGGGACACCUGAGGACAGGUGAACCGGGACACCUGGGGUCAGGUGAACCGCGACACCUGAGGACAGGUGAACCGCGACACCUGAGGACAGGUGUUUGUUUGUUUAUUUAUUUAUUUAUUUAUUUUUUUUUUGUAAUUUGUUUCAGCUUUGAGUUAUUUUAACGACUUUUGUUUUUUUACUUUAUCUAAAAGGUAGGAAGUAACUGAUCCAGGUGUGUGUUCAGGUGUGUUCAGGUGUGUGUAGGUGUGUGUUCAGGUGUGUGUUCAGGUGUGCGUAGUUGAAGCUAACUUUAUGGCGUUAAAACGACAGCUCAUGGUCCCGGAGCAUUGAUGAACUUCCUCCUCGGGGGCGGAGCGAGCAUUAAAAUUGGCAACUUGACAUUUUUUUCGGCCGACGGGCGAAAAAAUAAUAAAUAAAAAUAAAACCAGCUGCAGAUCAGGGGAAGAACAUUUCUUUACAUCAUCGAACAAAUAAAAAAA